rnacentral:rRNA from 1 species
ACUCAGCUGACGACCGGCGCACGGGUGCGUAACGCGUAUGCAAUCUACCUCUUACUGAGGGAUAGCCCAUGGAAACGUGGAUUAAUACCUCAUAGUAUUAUAGACUGGCCUCAGUUUAUGAUUAAAGGUUACGGUAAGAGAUGAGCAUGCGUCCUAUUAGCUAGAUGGUAAGGUAACGGCUUACCAUGGCUACGAUAGGUAGGGGUCCUGAGAGGGAGAUCCCCCACACUGGUACUGAGACACGGACCAGACUCCUACGGGAGGCAGCAGUGAGGAAUAUUGGACAAUGGGCGAGAGCCUGAUCCAGCCAUGCCGCGUGCAGGAAGACGGCCCUAUGGGUUGUAAACUGCUUUUACAGAGGAAGAACCCUCCUUACGUGUAAGGAGCUGACGGUACUCUAUGAAUAAGGAUCGGCUAACUCCGUGCCAGCAGCCGCGGUAAUACGGAGGAUCCAAGCGUUAUCCGGAAUCAUUGGGUUUAAAGGGUCCGUAGGCGGGUCUAUAAGUCAGUGGUGAAAGUCUGCAGCUUAACUGUAGAACUGCCAUUGAUACUGUAGACCUUGAAUUAGUAUGAAGUGGUUAGAAUGUGUAGUGUAGCGGUGAAAUGCAUAGAUAUUACACAGAAUACCGAUUGCGAAGGCAGAUCACUAAUACUAUAUUGACGCUGAUGGA